UACGAAGGGGGCGAGCGUUGUUCGGAAUUAUUGGGCGUAAAGCGCACGUAGGCGGCUUAGCAAGUCCCAUGUGAAAUCCCACGGCUUAACCGUGGAAGUGCAUGGGAAACUGCUGAGCUUGAGUACUUAAGAGGAUCGCGGAAUUCCCGGUGUAGAGGUGAAAUUCGUAGAUAUCGGGAGGAACACCAGUGGCGAAGGCGACUAUCUGGGACGUGACUGAACUGACGUGCGUGGACG
rnacentral:rRNA from 1 species